rnacentral:ncRNA from 1 species
UCUUAUCCAGAGAGGCGGAGGGACUGGCCCUUUGAAGCCUCGGCAGCGGACUCAUACGAGUACUGUGCCAAUUCCAGUAGUGUAAUGCUUGAAGAUAAG